GCAUCCACGAUCUGAAUCACGGGCGAGAAGAUGUCGGAAUCAAUGGAAGGAUCAGAUCCCCAAUUACAAGUAAGUGAACGUCGUAAGAUUUGGACUGCAGAGCUUCAUGACAGAUUUGUGGAUGUUGUCAAUGCCCUUGGCGGAUCCGAGCGAGCCACACCUAAGGCGGUCUGGAGGUUGAUGGGUGUUUCCGAAUUGACCAUCUACCAUGUGAAAUCACAUUUGCAGAAAUAUAGGUUGUCCGGA